rnacentral:misc_RNA from 1 species
GUGGAACUUCACCUGGUUGGCCAGAUAGAGCUUCUCUCUUUCUCUGUUGUUAGACUUGUUGGUUUCGCAGUUAAGCUUCCUCUUCUCAAAGAAAGCCCUCUUGUACUCAUCAGCUUCAGCAAUGAUCUGAUUCCGCAACUCCUUCUCCUUCCUUUCUUUCUCCUCCAGAUGAAGGGCAUUUUGGCGGCGCCAUUCCCUUAGGGCGAACCCCUCCUCCCGCAUCUCGCUGGGGUCCGGCAGCACCGGCCCGUCCGACGCGAAGAUCCCCCCAUUCUCCUCCUCCCCAUACGCCUUCCCGUUGCUCUCAGGCAUCGAGAACGGAUCCCCGUACCCGCCAUAACCCUCCGGCGAAGCUGGCGCGCUGGAGCCGUGGUGGUGGACGGGGAUCUCCUCGCCGAAGUCGCCGCCGAAGUCGCCGCCGAAGCCGGAGGAGGGGAUAGGAUCGGAGAUCGGAUCCUUGGCGUCGUCCUCGGGGAAGCUGGAGUAGGACUCGUAGCGCUGGGAUUGGUAGCCGAGGAAGUCGCCGUCGUCGUUGAAGGGCUGCUGCGAGCCGCGGAGGGCCUCCUCGCCGUCGUUGCUGAAGGUGUCGAACGAGGACGACAUCCUCCUCCUUCCUGUGUUGAGAUCG